GGCAGGGCAAUGACCAUCAUGCUGUCACUCCAUUUCCUGGAUUCUAAGAUGUCCUAACAUUUCUGAAUCCAUGGAUGAUAGCAGUGGUGGCGAACCCUC